UACGUAGGGGGCAAGCGUUGUCCGGAAUCAUUGGGCGUAAAGCGCGUGUAGGCGGCUGAGUAAGUCUGCUCUGAAAGCCCGGGGCUCAACCCCGGGAGGCGGGUGGAUACUGCUCAGCUCGAGUCCGGAAGAGGAGUGUGGAAUUCCACGUGUAGCGGUGAAAUGCGUAGAGAUGUGGAGGAACACCGAUGGCGAAGGCAGCCUCCUGGGCCAACACUGACGCUCAUGCACGAAAGCGUGGGGAGCAAACAGG
rnacentral:rRNA from 1 species